rnacentral:rRNA from 1 species
AACGUCUCAGUUCGGACUGUGGUCUGCAACUCGACCACACGAAGCUGGAAUCGCUAGUAAUCGCGAAUCAGCAUGUCGCGGUGAAUACGUUCCCGGGUCUUGUACACACCGCCCGUCACACCAUGGGAGUCAGCAACGCCCGAAGUCAGUGACCUAACCGAGAGGAAGGAGCUGCCGAAGGCGGGGCAGGUAACUGGGGUGAAGUCGUAACAAGGUAGC